UCUGGUGGCUAUUGCGGAGGGGUCACACCCGAUCCCAUCCCGAACUCGGAAGUUAAGCCCUCCAGCGCCGAUGGUACUGCAGGGGACACUCUGUGGGAGAGUAGGACGCCGCCAGAU
rnacentral:rRNA from 1 species